UACGUAGGGUCCGAGCGUUGUCCGGAAUUACUGGGCGUAAAGAGCUCGUAGGUGGUUUGUCGCGUUGUUCGUGAAAACUCACAGCUCAACUGUGGGCGUGCGGGCGAUACGGGCAGACUUGAGUACUGCAGGGGAGACUGGAAUUCCUGGUGUAGCGGUGGAAUGCGCAGAUAUCAGGAGGAACACCGGUGGCGAAGGCGGGUCUCUGGGCCACUACUGACGCUGAGAAGCGAAAGCAUGGGGAGCGAACAGG
rnacentral:rRNA from 1 species